rnacentral:rRNA from 1 species
UAUGGCUCAGGAUGAACGCUAGCUACAGGCUUAACACAUGCAAGUCGAGGGGCAGCAUGGUCAAAGCUUGCUUGACUGAUGGCGACCGGCGCACGGGUGAGUAACGCGUAUCCAACCUUCCCUUAGUAGGGCAUAGCCCGUAGAAAUGCGGAUUAAUACCCUAUGUUAUUCGUCGAGGACAUCUGAAGUGAAUCAAAGGUUUACCGCUAAGGGAUGGGGAUGCGUCUGAUUAGGCAGCAGGCGGGGUAACGGCCCACCUGGCCGACGAUCAGUAGGGGUUCUGAGAGGAAGGUCCCCCACAUUGGAACUGAGACACGGUCCAAACUCCUACGGGAGGCAGCAGUGAGGAAUAUUGGUCAAUGGUCGAGAGACUGAACCAGCCAAGUAGCGUGCAGGAUGACGGCCCUAUGGGUUGUAAACUGCUUUUAUGCGGGGAUAAAGUGACGUACGUGUACGUUUUUGUAGGUACCGCAUGAAUAAGGACCGGCUAAUUCCGUGCCAGCCGCUGC